GAUGAACGCUGGCGGCGUGCCUAAUACAUGUAAGUCGAACGGAAGAUGUAGUAAUACGUCUUUAGUGGCGAACGGGUGAGUAACGCGUUGGUGACCUGCCCCGAAGAGAGGGAUAACAGACCGAAAGGUUUGCUAAUACCGCGUAAUUUCCUUCUAGUUAGAGAGGGAGGAAGAAAGGCCGAAAGGCGCUUUGGGAGGGGCCUGCGUCCCAUCAGCUAGUUGGCGAGGUAAAAGCUCACCAAGGCGAUGACGGGUAGGGGACCUGAGAGGGUGACCCCCCACAAUGGAACUGAAACACGGUCCAUACACCUACGGGAGGCAG
rnacentral:rRNA from 1 species